GGCUCAGGACUAACGCUGGCGGCGUGCCUAACACAUGCAAGUCGAACGAAUCUUCUUUUGUAGCAAUAUAGAGGAAGGUGAGUGGCGCACGGGUGAGUAAUACAUAGAUGAUCUGCCUUUCAGACUGGGACAACUCAAGGGAAACUUGAGCUAAUACCAGAUAAGACCACAUGGAAGGGAUUCACGUGAACCGAAAGGGUGAGACAAUCCUCCUGCUGGAAGAUGAGUCUAUGUCCUAUCAGUUAGUUGGUGGGGUAAAGGCCUACCAAGACGAAGACGGGUAGCCGGCCUGAGAGGGUGAACGGCCACACUGGAACUGAGACACGGUCCAGACUCCUACGGGAGGCAGCAGUGAGGAAUUUUCCGCAAUGGGCGAAAGCCUGACGGAGCGACGCCCGCGUGAGGGAUGAAGGUUUUCGGAUCGUAAACCUCUUUUAUCAAGGAAAAAGGCUUUAAUGCGAAUAACAUUAAAGUUUGAUUGUACUUAAUGAAUAAGCCCCGGCUAACUACGUGCCAGCCGCCGC
rnacentral:rRNA from 1 species